CCUACGGGAGGCAGCAGUGAGGAAUAUUGGUCAAUGGACGCAAGUCUGACCCAGCCAUGCCGCGUGCAGGAAGAAGGCUCUCUGAGUUGUAAACUGCUUUUGUACGAGGGUAAACGCAGAUACGCGUAUCUGUCUGAAAGUAUCGUACGAAUAAGGAUCGGCUCACUCCGUGCCAGCAGCCACGGUGAUACGGAGGAUUCAAGCGUUAUCCGGAUUUAUUGGGUUUAAAGGGUGCGUAGGCGGUCGGAUAAGUUAGAGGUGAAAUCCCGAGGCUCAACUUCGGAAUUGCCUCUGAUACUGUUCGGCUAGAGAGUAGGUGCGGUAGGCGGAAUGUAUGGUGUAGCGGUGAAAUGCUUAGAGAUCAUACAGAACACCGAUUGCGAAGGCAGCUUACCAAGCUACUUCUGACGUUGAGGCACGAAAGCGUGGGGAGCAAACAGGAUUAGAUACCCCGGUAGUC
rnacentral:rRNA from 1 species